AGUGAACGCUGGCGGCAGGCCUAACACAUGCAAGUCGAACGAGUGGCGGAGGGGUGAAUAAUGUCUGGGAAACUGCCUGAUGGAGGGGGAUAACUACUGGAAACGGUAGCUAAUACCGCAUACCAUCAGAUGUGCCCAGAUGGGAUUAGCUAGUUGGUGGGGUAACGGCUCACCAAGGCGAAGAUCCCUAGCUGGUCAGAGAGGAGAACCAGCCCCACGGGAACGGGGACACGGUCCGUACUCCUAGGGGGGUCAUCGGGGGGAAAUAUUGCACAAGGGGGUAAGGCUGACUGCAGCCAUGCCGGGUGUAGGAAAAAGCCCUUCGGGUUGUAAAGUACUUUCAGCGGGGAGGCGUUACCCGCAGAAGAAGCACCGGCUAACUCCGUGCCAGCGGCCGCGGUAAUU
rnacentral:rRNA from 1 species